rnacentral:rRNA from 1 species
GAUGAACGCUGGCGGCGUGCCUAAUACAUGCAAGUCGAGCGAACGGACGAGAAGCUUGCUUCUCUGAUGUUAGCGGCGGACGGGUGAGUAACACGUGGAUAACCUACCUAUAAGACUGGGAUAACUUCGGGAAACCGGAGCUAAUACCGGAUAAUAUUUUGAACCGCAUGGUUCAAAAGUGAAAGACGCUCUUGCUGUCACUUAUAGAUGAAUCCGCGCUGCAUUAGCUAGUUGGUAAGGUAACGGCUUACCAAGGCAACGAUGCAUAGCCGACCUGAGAGGGUGGUCGGCUACACUGGAACUGAGACACGGUCCAGACUCCUACGGGAGGCAGCAGUAGGGAAUCUUCCGCAAUGGGCGAAAGCCUGACGGAGCAACGCCGCGUGAGUGAUGAAGGUCUUCGGAUCGUAAAGCUCUGUUAUUAGGGAAGAACAGAUGUGUAAGUAACUGUGCACAUCUUGACGGUACCUAAUCAGUAAGCCACGGCUAACUACGUG